GUGGGGAAUCUUGCGCAAUGGGCGAAAGCCUGACGCAGCCAUGCCGCGUGAAUGAUGAAGGUCUUAGGAUUGUAAAAUUCUUUCACCGGGGACGAUAAUGACGGUACCCGGAGAAGAAGCUCCGGCUAACUUCGUGCCAGCAGCCGCGGUAAUACGAAGGGGGCUAGUGUUGCUCGGAAUUACUGGGCGUAAAGGGCGCGUAGGCGGACAGCUUAGUCAGAGGUGAAAGCCCAGGGCUCAACCUUGGAAUUGCCUUUGAUACUGGCUGUCUUGAGUUUGGGAGAGGUGAGUGGAACUCCGAGUGUAGAGGUGAAAUUCGUAGAUAUUCGGAAGAACACCAGUGGCGAAGGCGACUACCUGGACUGAUACUGACACUGAGGUGCGAAAGCGUGGGGAGCAAACAGGAUUAGAAACCCGGGUAGUCC
rnacentral:rRNA from 1 species